rnacentral:misc_RNA from 1 species
GUAACAAGGUCUCCGUUGGUGAACCAGCGGAGGGAUCAUUACCGAGUUUACAACUCCCAAACCCAAUGUGAACCAUACCAAACUGUUGCCUCGGCGGGGUCACGCCCCGGGUGCGUCGCAGCCCCGGAACCAGGCGCCCGCCGGAGGGACCAACCAAACUCUUUCUGUAGUCCCCUCGCGGACGUUAUUUUUACAGCUCUGAGCAAAAAUUCAAAAUGAAUCAAAACUUUCAACAACGGAUCUCUUGGUUCUGGCAUCGAUGAAGAACGCAGCGAAAUGCGAUAAGUAAUGUGAAUUGCAGAAUUCAGUGAAUCAUCGAAUCUUUGAACGCACAUUGCGCCCGCCAGUAUUCUGGCGGGCAUGCCUGUCCGAGCGUCAUUUCAACCCUCGAACCCCUCCGGGGGUCCGGCGUUGGGGAUCGGGAACCCCUAAGACGGGAUCCCGGCCCCGAAAUACAGUGGCGGUCUCGCCGCAGCCUCUCAUGCGCAGUAGUUUGCACAACUCGCACCGGGAGCGCGGCGCGUCCACGUCCGUAAAACACCCAACUUCUGAAAUGUUGACCUCGGAUCAGGUAGGAAUACCCGCUGAACUUAAGCAUAUCAAUAA